GUAUCCUUGAAAGAAGAGUCACCUAAGUUGAAUGAAAGUGUGGAUAAGUUUAAUUAACUAAAACAAGCAACCUAAUGUAGCAUGAAUUACUUAGAGAGAAAUAAUAUGCCAAACUAUUGCUUUCACCAGUGAUCUCAUAAGAUCCAGUAUUAAUACCCGUCUUAAAGUAUAUCAUCCAAUCUCGGGCAAACUAUUUACAGGGUUAUCCAUUUUCUAGACCUAUCAGUAUCACUUAAAAAACCAGAAAAGUGCAGGGUUUUAUCAAUUUGCCUUCAUCAAAUAGCAAAUUUGAUGUCCAUAAUUUUACUAGAAAUACAAAGAGUCCACCCUUUUGCAAGUUCUACUCAUUUGUAUGUUCCCUAAUGUACCCAUACUGAGUUUUCUAAGAGACCUCCAGGUAAUUAGAACCUACAAUGGCUGAAUUUGUCUGUUGGAACCUUAAUU
rnacentral:misc_RNA from 1 species